rnacentral:misc_RNA from 1 species
ACCACUACUCAAGGUCCAUGGUGGGGAAACACCACUACUCAAGGUCCAUGGUGGGGAAAUAACUCUACUCAAGGUCCAUGGUGGGGAAACAACUCAACCGAAGGUCCAUGGUGGGGAAACAACUCAACCGAAGGUCCAUGGUGGGGAAACAAUUCAACAGA